CAGACACGGCAGGAAGUGCGGACGUCUUCAAGCAGGCCCACACUUACCUCCCCCAGAACCGGGCCUACUUGAGGAUCACUACCAUAGAUUGGGUGAGCCAAUUUAGUGUCCUCCCAAAGCACUGAGCUACAUCAGGAUAUUAGGUCGGCAUUAACAGCUCAGUUAAGAAUUUCUUGCACCCGAAAUAACAGAUAAAGCAUUAACCUGGAAGAGUGGUUCUGAAAAAUGAAUAACUAGCCUUGGCUAACCUUGGAAGCUAUUGGAUACGAAGAGGUUUGCAAAGUUUUUGCUGUUGUUGACUGAAAAACCUAUGUACCUGAAUGAAAAUUCUUCAGUUUGUGAGAAAGUUUGAGCUUGUGCCUUAUGGAGUUGGUUGUUAGAUAACAGUAAAAUAUGUUGAAACAAUUUUAUCAUGUUUCAUUGCUGUUUUAAUAAAGGUUAUAAUCAUUUGAAA